UACGGAGGGAGCUAGCGUUGUUCGGAAUUACUGGGCGUAAAGCGCGCGUAGGCGGCUUUGUAAGUUAGAGGUGAAAGCCCGGAGCUCAACUCCGGAACUGCCUUUAAAACUGCAUCGCUUGAAUCCAGGAGAGGUGAGUGGAAUUCCGAGUGUAGAGGUGAAAUUCGUAGAUAUUCGGAAGAACACCAGUGGCGAAGGCGGCUCACUGGACUGGUAUUGACGCUGAGGUGCGAAAGCGUGGGGAGCAAAAGGG
rnacentral:rRNA from 1 species